CACUGGACAGAGGCUGGAGACGGAGCUUGGAGAGAUGCUGACACCGACCGGAGAAGACAAAGAGGCUGGAGGGUGUACCUCGCCACUCC